UCUUACACCACUUCCAGAGUGGCCACAGGGUACUCAAGGUCGGCUUGGGAUCUUCUUCAGAGAAGAGGCACCCAAUCCACUUUACCCCUAAUAGGAACAUUGUCUUUAAAAUACCAAAGGGCUGGCCUGAAUGGGAAAGGAAAUGGGCUGUAGGCCCUCUUAUGAUUAUGAAGGUGGCAUAUUUCUUUGGCUGCUAAUCUACUACUUAACUAGAAUUUUAAGGCUCAAACUCUUUUGAUAAAACAUUGGCUGCAAUAUAUCAAUGCUAUUUCAAAUCUUGUUCAUAGAACCACUUCCCCAGUCCAAUAUGAACAUCCCACUAUGUUAUGGUUUUUAUCUGGAAUGUCCCCAAAAGACUUAAAAUGGACUACAAGGAGGAGGUGUGGCAGGGUUGGAGAAAGUAGGCCACUGGGUGUGUACCCUUUGGGACUAUAUUUUGUCCCUGGUCCUGCCCCCUAUCCCCCACCACUUCCUGGCUGCCAUGAAGUGAGCAGUUUUCUUCUGCCAUGUCUUUCUGCUAGGGUGCUUUUAUCUUGAAGUCAGCUGACCAUGGACUGAAACCUCUGAAACCAUAAGCCAAAAUGAAUCUUUCUUUCUCUAAUAUUUUUUCCUCAUGUAUAUGUCACAGCAACUAAAAGCAAACAUGCACCCCCACUUCAACCUCCACGUUCCUUAACUAGAAAAGCACUUCAGGAGCUCCUUGGAAUAUCCUUUUUAAGAAAGGGCAAUUCAGAUUACAGCUAUCCUUCCAACAGCUCCCUUCCUAUCUCCACCUGUGUGGAAAAAUAGGAAGAACGUUUUACUGCUCUCUCCAGAACUAUAGAAAAUAUCUUCUUGAUGAAAACAGUGAACCAGCCUCUGAUCUAAUGCUUCUCUCCAUUAAUAGAAAUCUAUGGACAGAACUACUCCUAGUUAAGGUGUGCAUUAUUUGUAUUGCUCAUUUCUAUUUCAUUUUCUUUGAUUUUCUGUUUUCUCUAUGUUGUUCAUUUUGUCUUAUUCUAACGGACUUUUUCUGACUGAAUUCUAUCCCAUUAGAAAUUUCUGACUGAAAUUCUAUCCCAGUCCCUAAACCCAUAGAGUAAUACCUCGGUAUCACCUACAAUGCCAGCCCCUGCAUAUGAUAUUUUGGUUGAAUGAGAAAAACAAGAUAAAUUAUAGACUUUUGACUUUCAUGUUGUCUGAUGCUCUGGGCUGAGAAAAUGUUCCACUCUCUCCCCUGUAGCAUGGCUUUGGUGUUACAACUCAUCAACAAAAGGUGUAUGCCCCAAGUUUGCACUUGCUGCCAUUGACUUCUGGACAGAAACAAAUUUCUUUGCAGCAUUUAUGACAUCAGUGUUGGCCACCGAGUCAAUUUGUUGAAGGAGUGUGGAUGGUGGUAUGUAAGAACCAGCAGCUAGAGUCUGGGAUUCAACUUCAUUCUGGAAGCCUUCAGAAGACUUCACUGACAUUAGGUAUCCAGCUUUCAGUUUGUUCUUGGCAGCCUGGACAUCUGCAUUGGAAAGGUUUCCUUGGGCAAUUGUUUUUACUUGGUUAUAGGCAGCCUUGAUCACAUCUACAGCAACUACAGCCAGGAAGACAGUGUAAAUUCCAAAAAGCCAGAAUCUAAGUAAUUGGCAUUGAAAGAAGAAACAGUGAAUUUCUGGUGCUUUCCUUUGGCAACAGCCUGGUACUAUCUUGCCUGUCUUUAAGCCACAGUGACAGUGAGUCAGAGCACUCUUGAGCCAUGAAGCUACUGACUAGAGCCAGGUCCUUCUCAAGAUUUUAUUCCUUCAAAGUUGCUCCCCAAUUAAAGGUACAACUGCCCCUGCAGGGGUUACUCUACAUCCUCAGGACCUUGAGUUUACCAAAUUACCAAAUGGUUUGAUAACUGUUUCUCUGGAAAACUAUGCUCCUGCAUCAAGAAUUGGUUUGUUCAUUAAAGCAGGCAGUAGAUAUUAGGACUCCAACCAUUUAGGAACCUCUCAUUUGCUGGGUCUUGCAUCCAGUUUAGCUACAAAGGGUGCUUCAUCUUUCAAGAUAACCCAAGGAAUUGAAGCAAGUGAUGGUAAACUAAGUGUGACUGGGAAAUGGAGUGCCUGAAGUAUGAUGGUGACAUUUCAAUGGAAUUCCUGCUCAAUGUCACCACAGCACCAAAAUUUUGUUGUUGGGAAGCAGUUGCCCUUCAGUCUCAGCUAAGGAUUGACAGAAUCCACAGGCUCUUCUUGUUGAAAAUUUGCAUGCUGCUGUUUACCAGAAUGCCUUAGCUAAGUCAUUGUAUUGCCUGACUAUAGGAUUGGAAAAGUGUCAUCAGAAGAGUUAUAUCACUUUGUUCAGAACCAUUUUACAAGCACAAGAAUGACUUUGAUUGGGUUUGAUGUGAGUCAUCCUGUAUUAAAGCAGGUUGCUGAACAGUUCCUCAAUAAAAAGGGUGGGCUUGAUUUUUACCUGGUGCAAAGGCCAUCAUGGAGGUGAAAUUUGAGACCAAAAUGGAGACAAUCUUGUCCAUGCUGCUGUUGUAGCAGAAAGUGCUGCUAUAGGAAGUGCAGAAGCUCAUGCAUUCACUGUUUUUCAGCAUGUCCUUGCUGCUGGACCACAUGUCAAGAGGGGCAGAAAUGCCACUAGCAUCUUGUACAAGACAGUUUCUUUAGAGACAAACUGUCUUUGGAUGUUUGCUUCUUCCUGUGUCUUUACAUGAGGCUAAUUGCUCAAUGUACUAUGGUUGACAGCCAAUAAAAAAUGGGCUGUGGGAAUUCUCCAAUUUGAAGAAAUUGCUCCUGUAUCAGGAGCUCUCUGUACCUUACAUGGAUCACCUUGGAUCCUACUGGUUUCCAAAUAUGCAAUCUGCUUCCUGCUAUAAAAGACUUGGAACUCUUCUGGAGAGUGUUUGUGGGUUGCUUGGACAAGAAGGGGCUACAAGUUUUGGGAAAUUAAAGCCCUUGGGAAUAUCCCUGGAGCAAUGAUUCAAGAGGAUCCAUUGGGAGAGACAAUGUGGAAACAUGACCUAAACCAUGAUUUUAAAUCUUUCCUAGGAGGAACCAGUUAGUAAAUAUUUUUUUAAAAUACUUUUAUUAGUUUUUGAUGGAUCUUUUUAAAAUUUAUUUGCUUAUAUGUGGUGCUGAGACUUGAACCCAGUGCCUCACACAAGCUGGGCAAGCGCUGUACCACUGAGCCACAACGCUAGCCCCUAGUAAAUAUAUUUUUUCUUUUUUUUUAAAUUUAUUUCUUACAUACAUGACAAUGGUGGAGUGCAUUACAUUCAUAAUUAUCCAUUCACAGCACAAUUUUUGUAACUCUGUAUAUAAAGUAUAUUCACACCAAAUUAUGCCAUUAUACAUGAGCUCUCUUAUUUUUUUUGCAUACAAUUCUUAAUAUACAUUUAUACCACCAUUUAUCAUAUCUCUGUUUGUAUAUAAGGUAUGUUGACACCAAAUUCACAUCUUCAUACAUGUAUUUUGUAUAAUGAUUACCCUCUCCUUCCACCACCCUCCUAGUAAAUAUUUUAAUCAUUGUGGAUCAUCUGGUCUCCACCACAACUACUCAGUUCAGCAGUUUUAGGGAACCAAGAUGCAUCUACCAAGCAGUGAUAGCAUAGAUGAAAUGUAAAUAAAUGGACAAGGCUUUAUAACAAGAAAACAUUAUCACUACUAAAAUUUGAAUCUCAAGAACUUGCAUGUCAUAAAAUAUUAAUUACUUUUCUAUCAUUUAAAAAUAUAAAAGCAUUUUUGCUUUAGAGUCAUAAUAAAAAACUAACAGGCUGGAUUCAGCUGUAAUUUUCUGAUCCCAGUCUAAAUGGUUUCCCAGGAUCCCUAAUGAGAUCAGCCCUGGUUGCCUGCAGCAGUAAUCUUCUCAUUAGAGCCUUUGAUUGGCUCUCUUCCCUUCCCUGGCUUACUCAUCUAUUCCUCUGGAAUCCUCUUCCAAAUAAACUUUGACCUCAAAGCCCUUGCAG
rnacentral:lncRNA from 1 species